AACGAACGCUGGCGGCAGGCUUAACACAUGCAAGUCGAACGGGUGUAGCAAUACAUCAGUGGCAGACGGGUGAGUAACACGUGGGAACCUUCCUAGAGGUACGGAACAACUCAGGGAAACAUGGGCUAAUACUGUAUACGCUCUUGCGAGGAAAGAUUUAUCGCCUUUAGACGGGUCCGCGUCGGAGUAGCUAGUUGGUGCGGGAACGGCCUACCAAGGCGACGAUCCGGAGCUGAUCUGAGAGGAUGAUAGGCCACACUGGGACUGAGACACGGCCCAUACUACUCCGCGGGGCAGCAGUGGGGGAUCUUGGUCCGCGGGCGCAGGCCUGAUCCAGCCAUGCGGAGUGAGUGGCGAAGGCGUUCGGGUUGUAAAGCUCUGUUGUCAGGGACGAUAAUGGCGGUACCUGAAGAAUAAGCGCCGGCAAACGUCGUGUCAGCCGCCGCAGUUACAC
rnacentral:rRNA from 1 species